rnacentral:rRNA from 1 species
UACAGAGGUCCCAAGCGUUGUUCGGAUUCAUUGGGCGUAAAGGGCGCGUAGGUGGUUCGGUAAGUCGGAUGUGAAAUCUCCAAGCUUAACUUGGAAAUUGCAUCGGAAACUACCGGGCUAGAGUCUAGGAGGGGGGAGUGGAAUUCUUGGUGUAGCAGUGAAAUGCGUAGAUAUCAAGAGGAACACCGGUGGCGAAGGCGACUCCCUGGACUAGUACUGACACUGAGGCGCGAAAGCUAGGGGAGCAAACGGG